rnacentral:rRNA from 1 species
UACGUAGGAGGCAAGCGUUGUCCGGAGUUACUGGGCGUAAAGCGCACGCAGGCGGUCCUAUCAGUCUGGGGUGACAGUUCCCGGCCUAACCGGGAAAGUGCUCUGGAAACUGUAGGACUUGAGGGCUUCAGAGGGAUGUGGAAUUCCAGGUGGAGUGGUGAAAUGCGUAGAGAUCCGGAGGAACACCGACGGCGCAGGCAGCGUCCUGGCCGCUUGCUGACACUGAGGCACGAAAGCUGGGGGAGCAAACAGG